AUACGGAGGGUGCAAGCGUUAUCCGGAAUCAUUGGGUUUAAAGGGUCCGCAGGCGGAUUAAUAAGUCAGUGGUGAAAUCCUCUCGCUCAACGAGAGAACUGCCAUUGAAACUGUUAGUCUUGAAUUCGGUCGAAGUAGGCGGAAUGUGUCAUGUAGCGGUGAAAUGCAUAGAUAUGACACAGAACACCGAUAGCGAAGGCAGCUUACUAGACCUGGAUUGACACUCAUGGACGAAAGCGUGGGGAGCGAACAGGAUUAGAAACCCUAGUAGUCC
rnacentral:rRNA from 1 species